rnacentral:rRNA from 1 species
CGCGUAGGCGGACAUUUAAGUCAGGGGUGAAAUCCCGGGGCUCAACCCCGGAACUGCCCUUGAUACUGGGUGUCUUGAGUUCGAGAGAGGUGAGUGGAAUUCCGAGUGUAGAGGUGAAAUUUGUAGAUAUUCGGAGGAACACCAGUGGCGAAGGCGGCUCACUGGCUCGAUACUGACGCUGAGGUGCGAAAGUGUGGGGAGCAAACG